GACGGGGGAUGCAAGUGUUAUCCGGAAUCACUGGGCGUAAAGCGUCUGCAGGUGGUUUCCUAAGUCCACUGUUAAACCUUGAGGCUCAACCUCAAAUCUGCAUUGGAAACUAGGAGACUUGAGUAUAGUAGGGGUAGAGGGAAUUUCCAGUGGAGCGGUGAAAUGCGUAGAUAUUGGAAAGAACACCGAUGGCGAAGGCACUCUACUGGGCUAUUACUGACACUCAGAGACGAAAGCUAGGGGAGCGAAUGGG
rnacentral:rRNA from 1 species